rnacentral:rRNA from 1 species
AGAAACCACAUGGUUUCUGUGUCAAAGAUGGUUUCGGCUAUCACUUUGGGAUGGACCCGCGGCGUAUUAGCUAGUUGGUAAGGUAAUGGCUUACCAAGGCAAUGAUACGUAGCCGAACUGAGAGGUUGAUCGGCCACAUUGGGACUGAGACACGGCCCAAACUCCUACGGGAGGCAGCAGUAGGGAAUCUUCCACAAUGGACGAAAGUCUGAUGGAGCAACGCCGCGUGAGUGAAGAAGGUUUUCGGAUCGUAAAACUCUGUUGUCAGAGAAGAACGUGUGCGAGAGUAACUGUUCGUGCAGUGACGGUAUCUGGCCAGAAAGCCACGGCUAACUACGUGCCAGCAGCCGCGGUAAUACGUAGGUGGCAAGCGUUGUCCGGAUUUAUUGGGCGUAAAGGGAACGCAGGCGGUCUUUUAAGUCUGAUGUGAAAGCCUUCGGCUUAACCGAAGUCGUGCAUUGGAAACUGGGAGACUUGAGUGCAGAAGAGGAGAGUGGAACUCCAUGUGUAGCGGUGAAAUGCGUAGAUAUAUGGAAGAACACCAGUGGCGAAAGCGGCUCUCUGGUCUGUAACUGACGCUGAGGUUCGAAAGCGUGGGUAGCAAACAGGAUUAGAUACCCUGGUAGUCCACGCUGUAAACGAUGAAUGCUAAGUGGUUGGAAGGGUUUCCGCCCUUCAGUGCCGCAGCAAACGCAUUAAGCAUUCCGCCCUGGGGGAGUACGACCCGCAAGGUUGAAACUCAAAGGGAAUUUGACGGGGGGCCCGCACAAGCGGUGGAACCAUGGUGGUUUAAUUCGAAGCAACGCGAAGAACCUUACCAGGUCUUGACAUCUUCUGAUAGCCUAAGAAAAAUUAGGUGUUCCCUUCGGGGACAGAAGGACAGGUGGGGGCAUGGGUUGUCGUCAGCUCGUG